rnacentral:rRNA from 1 species
AUGGCUGCUUCUCAACGAGGUCUGCAUAUGCGGCAAAAUUCUGGGGGCAGAGAAGUGAUCCAUACGGCUGAUUUCACCUGGAGAUCGAGGGCCCCGCUUCGCUGUCGCUUCUUCGCGUGGCUGGCCCUCCAGAACAGGUGUUGGACGGCGGACUGGCUAGCUCGGCGUGGCCUGGAUCAUCCGGAGCGUUGCCCUUUUUGCGAUCAGCAUGAGGAAAGCAUCAGCCAUCUUUUGCUUGCUUGUGUUUGCCAUUGA